CUCAUAAUAGCUGCAGGCUACAUAAUACCACAAAACAAGUACAAACAAGAGCGUACAAGUUGUGAUUUCCUCCUUUUUUCCUUUCUUACUUUUCCUGGCUCACCAAGGUUUCAGAAAUUGUUUUUCCCUUGUGAGAACGUGGAGCCUAACAUUCUUUAUAUUGCCAUUACACUAUUCUUCAGGCUUCCUUACAGUCAUCUGCUUCAUUUAAGGUUCUUACUCUUUGGCAAAGCAACGAGAAUAGUCAUCAGAGCUGCAGAAUCUACAGCCUUCUGUAGAGCCCCAGAGCUGCACACUCCAAGGAAGAAACUUCUUUACAGUGUCAGCAACAUUAUUCCUCUGCCUGCUGAAUGCACGAGCAAAGGUGAGCGUACAGUCAGAGCACAAGAGGGAAAGGAUGCUUUGGUCAGGUGACUGGACUCUCCACAGAGCUGUAAGUAAAAGAUGGCUUGUUUGGUUAAUGAUGCAUGUGGCAGCCGUUUCACUGAUAG
rnacentral:lncRNA from 1 species